GCAUUUCCCUUUAUUAAUAAACAUAUUGAGAAGUUGCUGCUUCAUCCGUGUAUUUUUUGUGCUGAUAAACAAAGGUCACAGUAGAGGCAGGCUGUUAUUGGCAGUUCUGUUGUCCUUCCGUGUUCUUCCAAAGAUUAUAAUAAACUUCAAGACAGUGAUGUGCUAUUGAUAUAGUAUAAUCAAGGGUAAAGAUUCAGAAUUGGGACAGGACCCACGCUACAAGAACAGAGUCGAAACUUUCCCAAAGGUGUAUAAGAGAGGAAACUUCUCCAUCAAACUCAACAAUCUUCAACACACUGAUGCAAGGAAAACAUCAACGAAUCAACAGCAGAAAAAGAAAACUAAUCCACUGAACAAGAAAGCCAAGGAGAAGAAACCAGACCAGACAGUGUGGGGACUCCAUCCCCUUUGCUUCAUAGGACAAGAUAUGCUAUUAUCAUUGCCUUUGUAUUACUUAUAAUUGCCUGUUUUAUCAUGCAUAUUUUGAGAAAAAGAAUUCAAGCUGCCUCAUUUUCUUCAGUCAUGACUGAAGAACAAGCAACAGUGAUAUAAAUGACAAAUAGGUCCAAAAGUUACUUUUCACUUUCUGUAACAUUUCUGAUUAUUGUCUACUAGCUGAAUUGUUACAUCUUUCUUUGGUCCUUUCUUUUGGUGCGGUUACAUUCUUGCUGAAUUAAUUGCAUUGUUCUUAUUUUAUAACAGAAUGAGACUGAAAGAUAAAAAAAAAAACAUGCUUUUGCUGUAGCUAAAAGACAAACGAGCCUGUCAGUAUGUUCCUGCCUUAAUUCUGUAUCACAAGUGUUCUUUGGUCAGUGUUUGCCAAUAUUAAAUGUAUUUUGUAUUCUUUAUGUAUUGUUUCAUGUUUAUGUUUAAAUUAUAACCACACAUUAUUUAUCAAAUGUUAUCCAUUAAUUCCUG